AGGACUAACGCUGGCGGCGUGCCUAACACAUGCAAGUCGAACGAGAGUAGCAAUACUCUAGUGGCAGACGGGUGAGUAACACGUGGUCAACCUACCUUUAAGUGGGGGAUAACUAGCCGAAAGGUUAGCUAAUACCGCAUACGUCUCCGAGGGGCAUCCCUUGGUGAUAAAAGGAGCAAUCCGCUCGAUGACGGGACCGCGUCCCAUUAGCUAGUUGGUAGGGUAACGGCCUACCAAGGCAUCGAUGGGUAGCUGGUUUGAGAGAGCGACCAGCCACACUGGGACUGAGAUACGGCCCAGACUCCUACGGGAGGCAGCAGUGAGGAAUUUUCCGCAAUGGGCGAAAGCCUGACGGAGCGACGCCGCGUGUGGGAAGAAGGCCUUCGGGUCGUAAACCACUGUCGAAGGGGAAGAUAAUGACGGUACCCUUGGAGGAAGCCCCGGCUAACUACGUGCCAGCAGCCGC
rnacentral:rRNA from 1 species